GGAGAGAUGGUUCAAUGGUUAAGAGCAUUGGUUGCUCUUCCAAAGGAUCUGGGUUCAAUUCCCAGCACCUACA
rfam:Cricetulus griseus cell line CHO-K1, whole genome shotgun sequence.